CGGUGGAUGAUGUGGAUUAAUUCGAUGCAACGACGAAAACCUUACCUACCCUUGACAUGUCCGGAAUCCCGAAGAGAUUUGGGAGUGCUCGCAAGAGAACCGGAACACAGGUGCUGCAUGGCUGUCGUCAGCUCGUGUCGUGAGAUGUUGGGUUAAGUCCCGCAACGAGCGCAACCCUUGUCAUUAGUUGCCAUCAUUUGGUUGGGCACUCUAAUGAGACUGCCGGUGACAAACCGGAGGAAGGUGGGGAUGACGUCAAGUCCUCAUGGCCCUUAUGGGUAGGGCUUCACACGUCAUACAAUGGUCGGUACAGAGGGUUGCCAACCCGCGAGGGGGAGCUAAUCCCACAAAGCCGAUCGUAGUCCGGAUCGCAGUCUGCAACUCGACUGCGUGAAGUCGGAAUCGCUAGUAAUCGUGGAUCAGCAUGUCACGGUGAAUACGUUCCCGGGUCUU
rnacentral:rRNA from 1 species